rnacentral:lncRNA from 1 species
AGACAACCCUUAUAGAAUUUCUCUCCUCUCUCAAUAACUUGGAAGAAACGAGGGAUGAGAACUUCUAGCCUUUACAACACUUUUGAGCUCUAAAAAUCACAGAGUAAGAUUGGAUUUUCGGUGCCCUUUCAUGUAGGAAAGGGUGGGGUAUAUAUAGGCCCCAAACUGGUUUGAAUUUCGAGCUCAAAAAUACCUUUUCUCGGAUUUCUAGGGUUCUGGCGGUACUACCUCCUGACUGGGGCGGUACAACCGCCUGGCAGCUCGAAGAAUG